GAUCGGGGGAGGGCGACCUGGAGUUACUCACCCCGUCAGGUCCGGGAGGAAGCAGCGGAAGUAAUCUCGGGGGUCGGCCCUCAAUCCCGUUCACC
rnacentral:SRP_RNA from 1 species